GAUGAACGCUAGCGAUAGGCCUAACACAUGCAAGUCGAGGGGCAGCACGAGUAGCAAUACUUGGUGGCGACCGGCGCAAGGGUGCGUAACGCGUGAGCAACAUGCCCGUAUCAGGGGGAUAAUCCAGGGAAACUUGGUCUAAUACCCCAUAGUAAUCAUAUCAGGCAUCUGGUAUGAUUUAAAGCUUAGGUGGAUACGGAUUGGCUCGCGUGACAUUAGCUAGAUGGUAAGGUAACGGCUUACCAUGGCUAUGAUGUCUAGGGGUUCUGAGAGGAAGGUCCCCCACACUGGAACUGAGACACGGUCCAGACUCCUACGGGAGGCAGCAGUGAGGAAUAUUGGACAAUGGAUGGAAAUCUGAUCCAGCCAUGCCGCGUGAAGGACGACGGUCCUAUGGAUUGUAAACUUCUUUUGUAUGGGAGCAAUAAGGUCUACGUGUAGAUCGAUGAGAGUACCAUACGAAUAAGC
rnacentral:rRNA from 1 species